GAUGAACGCUGGCGGCGUGCCUAAUACAUGCAAGUCGAGCGGUAAGGCUUUCACUCUGUGCUCAAAUAUUUUUGAACAUAGUGUGAAAGUACACGAGCGGCGGACGGCUGAGUAACGCGUAGGAACAUACCCCAAACUGAGGGAUAACUGCCCGAAAGGGUGGCUAAUACCGCAUGUGGUCUUUAUAGAUUAAAGCUUUUAGCGGUUUGGGAGUGGCCUGCGUAUGAUUAGUUUGUUGGUGAGGUAAUGGCUCACCAAGGCGACGAUCAUUAGCUGGUCUGAGAGGAUGAUCAGCCAGACUGGGACUGAGACACGGCCCAGACUUCUACGGAAGGCAGCAGUAGGGAAUUUUCCACAAUGGGGGCAACCCUGAUGGAGCAACGCCGCGUGCAGGAUGACGGCCUUCGGGUUGUAAACUGCUUUUAUGGGUGAAGAAUUUGACGGUAACCCAAGAAUAAGGGACGGCUAACUACGUGCCAGCAGCCGCGAGUAAAAC
rnacentral:rRNA from 1 species